rnacentral:rRNA from 1 species
GAUGAACGCUGGCGGCAUGCCUAAUACAUGCAAGUCGAACGAGAGGAAGGAAAGCUUGCUUUCCUGAAUCUAGUGGCGAACGGGUGAGUAACACGUAGGUAACCUGCCCAUGUGCCCGGGAUAACUUCUGGAAACGGAUGCUAAAACCGGAUAGGUAGCAGACAAGCAUUUGACUGCUAUUAAAGUGGCCUUGGCCAUGAACAUGGAUGGACCUGCGGUGCAUUAGCUGGUUGGUGAGGUAACGGCCCACCAAGGCGACGAUGCAUAGCCGGCCUGAGAGGGCGGACGGCCACAUUGGGACUGAGACACGGCCCAAACUCCUACGGGAGGCAGCAGUAGGGAAUUUUCGUCAAUGGGGGGAACCCUGAACGAGCAAUGCCGCGUGAGUGAGGAAGGUCUUCGGAUCGUAAAGCUCUGUUGUAAGAGAAAAACGGCACUCAUAGGGAAUGAUGAGUGAGUGAUGGUAUCUUACCAGAAAGUCACGGCUAACUACG